rnacentral:rRNA from 1 species
AGAGUUUGAUCCUGGCUCAGAUUGAACGCUGGCGGCAGGCCUAACACAUGCAAGUCGAACGAUGAAGCCCAGCUUGCUGGGUGGAUUAGUGGCGAACGGGUGAGUAACACGUGAGUAACCUGCCCUUAACUCUGGGAUAAGCCUGGGAAACUAGGUCUAAUACCGGAUAGGAGCGCCUACCGCAUGGUGGGUGUUGGAAAGAUUUAUCGGUUUUGGAUGGACUCGCGGCCUAUCAGCUUGUUGGUGAGGUAAUGGCUCACCAAGGCGACGACGGGUAGCCGGCCUGAGAGGGUGACCGGCCACACUGGGACUGAGACACGGCCCAAACUCCUACGGGAGGCAGCAGUGGGGAAUAUUGCACAAUGGGCGAAAGCCUGAUGCAGCGACGCCGCGUGAGGGAUGACGGCCUUCGGGUUGUAAACCUCUUUCAAUAGGGAAGAAGCGAAAGUGACGGGACCU